CCUACGGGAGGCAGCAGUGGGGAAUAUUGCGCAAUGGGCGAAAGCCUGACGCAGUGACGCCGCGUGAGGGAUGAAGGUCUUCGGAUCGUAAACCUCUGUCAGCAGGGAAGAACGGUCACUGUGCUAAUCAGCAGUGAAUUGACGGUACCUGCACAGGAAGCACCGGCUAACUCCGUGCCAGCAGCCGCGGUAAUACGGAGGGUGCGAGGGUUAAUCGGAAUUACUGGGCGUAAAGCGCUCGUAGGCGGUAUGGCAAGUCAAGGGUGAAAUCCCCGCGCUCAACGUGGGAACUGCCUUUGAAACUGGCAAACUGGGGUGUGUGAGAGGAUAGUGGAAGUCCAGGUGUAGGAGUGAAAUCCGUAGAUAUCUGGAGGAACAUCAGUGGCGAAGGCGACUAUCUGGCACAUAACUGACGCUGAGGAGCGAAAGCGUGGGUAGCAAACAGGAUUAGAUACCCGUGUAGUC
rnacentral:rRNA from 1 species